rnacentral:rRNA from 1 species
CCUACGGGUGGCAGCAGUGGGGAAUAUUGCACAAUGGGGGGAACCCUGAUGCAGCGACGCCGCGUGGGUGAAGGAGUACUUCGGUACGUAAAGCUCUAUCAGCAGGAAAGAAAAUGACGGUACCUGACUAAGAAGCCCCGGCUAACUACGUGCCAGCAGCAGCGGGAAUACGUAGGCGGCAAGCGUUAUCCGGAUUUACUGGGUGGAAAGGGAGCGUAGUCGGCAGUGCAAGUCCGGAGUGAAAGCCCGGGGCUCAACCCUGGGACUGCUCUGGAAACUGCAAAGUUGGAGUGCGGGAGGGGCAGGCGGAAUGCAUGGUGUAGCGGUGAAAUGCGUAGAUAUCAGGAGGAACACCGACGGCGAAGGCGGCCUGCUGGACCGUAACUGACGUUGAGGCUCGAAAGCGUGGGGAGCAAACAGGAUUAGAUACCCUUGUAGUC